rnacentral:rRNA from 1 species
UAUUCUUACGGUACCGUCAUGAGCCCCUAGUAUUAAUAGAGACCUUUUCGUUCCGUACAAAAGCAGUUUACAACCCGAGGGCCUUCAUCCUGCACGCGGAAUGGCUGGAUCAGACUUGCGUCCAUUGUCCAAAAUUCCCCACUGCUGCCUCCC